rnacentral:rRNA from 1 species
GGAUUAGUGGCGAACGGGUGAGUAACACGUGGGCAAUCUGCCCUGCACUCUGGGACAAGCCCUGGAAACGGGGUCUAAUACCGGAUAUGACUGUCCAUCGCAUGGUGGAUGGUGUAAAGCUCCGGCGGUGCAGGAUGAGCCCGCGGCCUAUCAGCUUGUUGGUGAGGUAGUGGCUCACCAAGGCGACGACGGGUAGCCGGCCUGAGAGGGCGACCGGCCACACUGGGACUGAGACACGGCCCAGACUCCUACGGGAGGCAGCAGUGGGGAAUAUUGCACAAUGGGCGAAAGCCUGAUGCAGCGACGCCGCGUGAGGGAUGACGGCCUUCGGGUUGUAAACCUCUUUCAGCAGGGAAGAAGCGAAAGUGACGGUACCUGCAGAAGAAGCGCCGGCUAACUACGUGCCAGCAGCCGCGGUAAUACGUAGGGCGCAAGCGUUGUCCGGAAUUAUUGGGCGUAAAGAGCUCGUAGGCGGCUUGU